GAAAGAAGAACAUAUAAGGAUAGCCAAGGAGACUGCCUGAUGUCUUUUUAUAAGCAAAAUGUCAUUCUUGAUAUAACUUAAAGUCAUCAAACAUGACAUCAACCAUUUUGUUCAAAGAAACAGGCAAGUCAUCCUUGGCUACCAAAUAUGAUUCUCUUAUUC
rnacentral:pre_miRNA from 1 species